rnacentral:rRNA from 1 species
UACGUAGGGUGCGAGCGUUGUCCGGAAUUAUUGGGCGUAAAGAGCUCGUAGGCGGUCUGUCGCGUCGGUUGUGAAAGCCCGGGGCUUAACUCCGGGUCUGCAGUCGAUACGGGCAGGCUAGAGUUCGGCAGGGGAGACUGGAAUUCCUGGUGUAGCGGUGAAAUGCGCAGAUAUCAGGAGGAACACCGGUGGCGAAGGCGGGUCUCUGGGCCGAUACUGACGCUGAGGAGCGAAAGCGUGGGGAGCGAACAGG